AGCGAACGCUGGCGGCAGGCCUAACACAUGCAAGUCGAGCGCCGUAGCAAUACGGAGCGGCAGACGGGAGAGUAACACAUAGGAACGUACCCUUUGGUUCGGAACAACCCAGGGAAACUUGGGCUAAUACCGGAUAAGCCCUUACGGGGAAAGAUUCAUCGCCGAAGGAUCGGCCCGCGUCUGAUUAGCUAGUUGGUGGGGUAAUGGCCCACCAAGGCGACGAUCAGUAGCUGGUCUGAGAGGAUGAUCAGCCUCACUGGGACUGAGACACGGCCCAGACUCCUACGGGAGGCAGCAGUGGGGAAUAUUGGACAAUGGGCGCAAGCCUGAUCCAGCCAUGCCGCGUGGGUGAUGAAGGCCCUAGGGUUGUAAAGCCCUUUCGGCGGGGAAGAUAAUGACGGUACCCGCAGAAGAAGCCCCGGCUAACUUCGUGCCAGCCGCCGCAGUAA
rnacentral:rRNA from 1 species